rnacentral:rRNA from 1 species
AAUUUUGGACAAUGGGGGAAACCCUGAUCCAGCCAUCCCGCGUGUAUGAUGAAGGNCUNNGGGUUNUNAAGUACUUUUGGCAGNNNNNAAAAGGUAUCCCCUAAUACGAGAUACUGCUGACGGUAUCUGCAGAAUAAGCACCGGCUAACUACGUGCCAGCAGCCGCGGUAAUACAGAGGGUGCAAGCGUUAAUCGGAAUUACUGGGCGUAAAGCGAGCGUAGGUGGUUUGUUAAGUUGGAAGUGAAAGCCCCGGGCUCAACCUGGGAACUGCAUUUUUAACUGCCGAGCUAGAGUAUGUCAGAGGGGGGUAGAAUUCCACGUGUAGCAGUGAAAUGCGUAGAUAUGUGGAGGAAUACCGAUGGCGAAGGCAGCCCCCUGGGAUAAUACUGACGCUCAGACACGAAAGCGUGGGGAGCAAACAGG